rnacentral:rRNA from 1 species
CUCCCAGACUCCUACGGGAGGCAGCAGUGGGGAAUAUUGCACAAUGGGGGAAACCCUGAUGCAGCGACGCCGCGUGAGCGAUGAAGUAUUUCGGUAUGUAAAGCUCUAUCAGCAGGGAAGAAAAUGACGGUACCUGACUAAGAAGCCCCGGCUAACUACGUGCCAGCAGCCGCGGUAAUACGUAGGGGGCAAGCGUUAUCCGGAUUUACUGGGUGUAAAGGGAGCGUAGACGGCUGUGCAAGCCAGAUGUGAAAGCCCGGGGCCCAACCCCGGGACUGCUCUUGGAACUGCAUGGCUGGAGUACAGGAGGGGCAGGCGGAAUUCCUAGUGUAGCGGUGAAAUGCGUAGAUAUUAGGAGGAACACCGGUGGCGAAGGCGGCCUGCUGGACUAUGACUGACGUUGAGGCCCGAAGGCGUGGGGAGCAAACAGGAUUAGAUACCCGAGUA